CAGCAGCCGCGGGAAUACGGAGGGAGCUAGCGUUGUUCGGAAUUACUGGGCGUAAAGCGCACGUAGGCGGUUAUUCAAGUCAGAGGUGAAAGCCCGGGGCUCAACCCCGGAACUGCCUUUGAAACUAGAUGACUGGAAUCUUGGAGAGGUCAGUGGAAUUCCGAGUGUAGAGGUGAAAUUCGUAGAUAUUCGGAAGAACACCAGUGGCGAAGGCGACUGACUGGACAAGUAUUGACGCUGAGGUGCGAAAGCGUGGGGAGCAAACAGGAUUAGAUACCCGUGUAGUCCCUGUCUCUUAUAC
rnacentral:rRNA from 1 species